GCGCCCUAGGUCAGUACACUUUAGUGCAUCCGUGCGACUGCAUCGCCUUUAUUCGCAAAAAAUCAUGAAUCAAAUCAGAUAUCAUGAAAAUCAUUCAGGAGUGUUAGAAAUGAAAAUUCGUUCACAUUUUCCCGGUAACAGUGAAAGAAAAUGGAUACCUCGUCGUCUUUGUCCGACGCCAUGUUGUCAACAUUUCUGAGAAAUCGAAGCGGGACCUAAUGUUUGGAAGAGCAAAACGGUGAAAGUCAGCAUUAAGGGAAAUUGAGGAGGAGAUAUAUUCAGGACGGUGGGCGCAGAUGAGGAAAUGCCAAGUGAAGAAAUCUGGACCAGUCGCAGCAGCCAACGGAUGCACCAAUGAAGAUUCUAUCACUAUGAUGGUUUUGUUCCCAUCCGUCCAUACGUCACGGGAAUUCACUAUUGAUUUUCAUUACUUCUAUCCUUUUGGAAUGUCAAUCUUAAAUAUAUUAUAUUAUUCAUUAUGGUUUCUAUAAAAGGACUGACGGAUCUUAGCCGAGUCAAUAUCUAGUCCGCGAUUUCCUUGGAAACAACUGAGUCGAUAAGAUCUUUGCUCAUUUCGCAAUUUUUUCAUAUACCUACAUAUAUUCGCAACAUAUUUCUAACUAAGAACCCGAUUUGUAUUUUAUCAUAUAAUUUAAAAUGGAUGGCGGAAGUUGUCUCGUUUUGCCUGUUAAGUGUAUCAGGUAAAGGCCGACUACUUGGAUAUAAAAGCAAAAUUAAUCAUACAGAUGUAAUAAAUGUCCCAUGCCCCGUGGGAACGUUACAAGACUCCAUACAACUGUGGCUAUUGGUAAUAGAAUAAUUGUCUUCAUAUUUGGAUUUUCGUCAUUGUACAUGUACCAUUUAAUUUAGAAUCACGCUAAGUAGUUAAUAUUUAUUUUGAUGUUUGCUUGUUUAACAUAUUAUGUUCAUUAUUGUUUUUAAUUUAAUCGAUAUGCAAAAGCACAUUUUGUUGCGUCUGCCACAUCUACUUGAUAUUUUGUUGACCUAUUAUAAUUUUUCUCCCACUUAGCUUUGGACCCUCUCAACUGGGACCCGUAGACCCGAACUUGUGCGCAAAGUCGUAUGGAAGAGUAGACUGCGACGUUUCCGUCUCACGUUUAUAACCGCGUAUUGCGUCCGUACAAAGUUUCUUGACGGACGAUUCUGCCCCUUCUUUUGCCGAUAUCCAAUUUAUUGAUCUAUUCUCAUCAGCAUUUAGUAUCGCAUUACACCAUAAAUGACUAUAAUCUAUGUUGCUCUAAAGAGUAUAAUCUGUCUUCGUGACGUGAUUUAUAUUUUUGAGAUUCAUAAAAUGUCAAUUGUCAAAGAUAGAGGAAUGCGAAUUUCGUGUGACGGCUAUUAGUCGCAAGUCUACGUCAUCCACACAAGUUUGGUGAUACGCGGGAACAGUUUUGGCGGGAUUUCGACGCUUCAACAUUUUUAGUUACCUUUUUAUUAUGUGUGUUGUGUUAUUAUUACGUAGAUUUUGUUUUUAUAAAUUUAUGUAAUUAGUUUUCAUAUAGCUAGUUUUUUGUGCAAAUAAUGAUUUUAUCUUUUUAAUAAAAUGUACUAAAAUGUAGAGAACUCUCUUCUUAAUUUCUUCAUUUAUAAUGAUUGUUAGUGUUAUCUAGGUAAAAUAGACCAUGUCGGGUUGAGGUAGUAGGUUGUAUAGUACAGUAUUACACCAUUUAGGAGAGACUGUAUAGCCUGCUAACUUUACUCGCUGUGGGACAUUCCACACGAAGACUAGGAAGACCAGAAGACUACAGAGCAUACUGGAGGACGAGAUAGAAGCAUACGUGGAAAUAAUGUAAAGAAGCGUCCCCUCACCUCUGAAUAGGAGGAACUUGAUGAGAACUCCAAAUGAUAAGUUUGUAAUGCUUUCUAAGUACUUCAAACUUAUAUUUUGGGGCCAUCUGGGUGUCAAAUGUUAAUAGGAAAAAUUUAUUUCCUUUCCUUCUCACAGCUUUUCCUUUAAAAUAUGAAAUGGCGAUAAUAUGCACACAUUCCUUCUGUUAAAGGAAUAAAAUGCAAUAAUAUUUCUGUAUCUAAAUGUAAAUAAUAUGUAUUCAUACUUCUCUCCUCUCUUGUUUUAUUCUAAUUACUAAAGUAGUUUUAGGUAAAAAAAAAGGUAUAAAAACCAAAUAAAAGAGAAAAAACUCAAUAUUAAAAUAUAGUUGUAGUUAUAUUGAAUAUUACUUGGUGGCCUUACAGUUAGCAAUCUGAUGUUUACCGACAUCGCAAUGAGUACAAAUUCAUCUUUUGUUUAGAUUAAGCAAAAUGAAGACUGCGCCGAACAUGUAUUAAAUAUGAAAAAAUAUUUAAUUGAAAUUCAAUAUUGUAAAGUAGAUUAAUGAUGAUGUAAA